rnacentral:rRNA from 1 species
UACGAAGGGGGCUAGCGUUGCUCGGAAUCACUGGGCGUAAAGCGCACGUAGGCGGCUUCUUAAGUCAGGGGUGAAAUCCUGGAGCUCAACUCCAGAACUGCCUUUGAUACUGAAAGACUUGAGUCCGGGAGAGGUGAGUGGAACUGCGAGUGUAGAGGUGAAAUUCGUAGAUAUUCGCAAGAACACCAGUGGCGAAGGCGGCUCACUGGCCCGGUACUGACGCUGAGGUGCGAAAGCGUGGGGAGCAAACAGG